GCACUGCUGAAGAGUCUCACUAUAAGACGAAAUGGUCGUCCAGUGC
rfam:Schistosoma rodhaini strain Burundi genome assembly, scaffold: SROB_scaffold0014338